UCUUGCGCAAUGGGCGGAAGCCUGACGCAGCAACGCCGCGUGCGGGAAGAAGGCCUUCGGGUCGUAAACCGCUUUCAGGGGGGACGAAGCUUCCGGGGUUAAUAGCCCACGGGGUGACGGUACCCUCAGAAGAAGGACCGGCUAACUACGUGCCAGCAGCCGCGGUGAUACGUAGGGUCCUAGCGUUGUCCGGAAUCAUUGGGCGUAAAGAGCGUGUAGGCGGCUUGAUAGGUCCCGUGUUAAAGCCUGCGGCUCAACCGCAGAAUCGCACGGGAAACCAUCUGGCUCGAGUCCGGAAGAGGAGAGCGGAAUUCCUGGUGUAGCGGUGAAAUGCGCAGAUAUCAGGAAGAACACCCGUGGCGAAGGCGGCUCUCUGGGACGGUACUGACGCUGAGACGCGAAAGCGUGGGGAGCGAACAG
rnacentral:rRNA from 1 species